GACGAACGCUGGCGGCGUGCUUAACACAUGCAAGUCGAGCGAGGCCCCUCCUUCGGGAGGGUGUCCUAGCGGCGAACGGGUGAGUAACACGUGGGCAACCUGCCCUCAGCUCUGGGAUAACUCCGGGAAACCGGGGCUAAUACCGGAUACGACCUCCACGGGCAUCUGCGGAGGUGGAAAGUUUUUCGGCUGAGGAUGGGCCCGCGGCCUAUCAGCUAGUUGGUGGGGUAGUGGCCCACCAAGGCGACGACGGGUAGCCGGCCUGAGAGGGCGACCGGCCACACUGGGACUGAGACACGGCCCAGACUCCUACGGGAGGCAGCAGUGGGGAAUAUUGCGCAAUGGGCGAAAGCCUGACGCAGCGACGCCGCGUGAGGGAUGAAGGCCUUCGGGUUGUAAACCUCUUUCAGCAGGGACGAAGCGAAAGUGACGGUACCUGCAGAAGAAGCACCGGCCAACUACGUG
rnacentral:rRNA from 1 species